rnacentral:rRNA from 1 species
GCAAGUCGAACGAAAUCCUUCGGGAUUUAGUGGCGGACGGGUGAGUAACACGUGAGAAUCUGGCUUCUGGAUGGGGACAACAGUGGGAAACCGCUGCUAAUACCCAAUGCUCCGCCAGGUAAAAGAUGUAUCGCCAGAAGAUGAGCUCGCGUCCGAUUAGUUAGUUGGUGGGGUAACAGCCUACCAAGACAGCGAUAGGUAGCUGGUCUGAGAGGAGGAGC